rnacentral:rRNA from 1 species
ACGAACGCUGGCGGCGUGCCUAAUACAUGCAAGUAGAACGCUGAAGAGAGGAGCUUGCUCUUCUUGGAUGAGUUGCGAACGGGUGAGUAACGCGUAGGUAACCUGCCUUGUAGCGGGGGAUAACUAUUGGAAACGAUAGCUAAUACCGCAUAACAAUGGAUGACACAUGUCAUUUAUUUGAAAGGGGCAAUUGCUCCACUACAAGAUGGACCUGCGUUGUAUUAGCUAGUAGGUGAGGUAAUGGCUCACCUAGGCGACGAUACAUAGCCGACCUGAGAGGGUGAUCGGCCACACUGGGACUGAGACACGGCCCAGACUCCUACGGGAGGCAGCAGUAGGGAAUCUUCGGCAAUGGGGGCAACCCUGACCGAGCAACGCCGCGUGAGUGAAGAAGGUUUUCGGAUCGUAAAGCUCUGUUGUAAGUCAAGAACGGGUGUGAGAGUGGAAAGUUCACACUGUGACGGUAGCUUACCAGAAAGGGACGGCUAACUACGUGCCAGCAGCCGCGGUAAUACGUAGGUCCCGAGCGUUGUCCGGAUUUAUUGGGCGUAAAGCGAGCGCAGGCGGUUUGAUAAGUCUGAAGUUAAAGGCUGUGGCUCAACCAUAGUUCGCUUUGGAAACUGUCAAACUUGAGUGCAGAAGGGGAGAGUGGAAUUCCAUGUGUAGCGGUGAAAUGCGUAGAUAUAUGGAGGAACACCGGUGGCGAAAGCGGCUCUCUGGUCUGUAACUGACGCUGAGGCUCGAAAGCGUGGGGAGCGAACAGGAUUAGAUACCCUGGUAGUCCACGCCGUAAACGAUGAGUGCUAGGUGUUGGAUCCUUUCCGGGAUUCAGUGCCGCAGCUAACGCAUUAAGCACUCCGCCUGGGGAGUACGACCGCAAGGUUGAAACUCAAAGGAAUUGACGGGGGCCCGCACAAGCGGUGGAGCAUGUGGUUUAAUUCGAAGCAACGCGAAGAACCUUACCAGGUCUUGACAUCCCGAUGCUAUUUCUAGAGAUAGAAAGUUACUUCGGUACAUCGGUGACAGGUGGUGCAUGGUUGUCGUCAGCUCGUGUCGUGAGAUGUUGGGUUAAGUCCCGCAACGAGCGCAACCCCUAUUGUUAGUUGCCAUCAUUCAGUUGGGCACUCUAGCGAGACUGCCGGUAAUAAACCGGAGGAAGGUGGGGAUGACGUCAAAUCAUCAUGCCCCUUAUGACCUGGGCUACACACGUGCUACAAUGGUUGGUACAACGAGUUGCGAGUCGGUGACGGCGAGCUAAUCUCUUAAAGCCAAUCUCAGUUCGGAUUGUAGGCUGCAACUCGCCUACAUGAAGUCGGAAUCGCUAGUAAUCGCGGAUCAGCACGCCGCGGUGAAUACGUUCCCGGGCCUUGUACACACCGCCCGUCACACCACGAGAGUUUGUAACACCCGAAGUCGGUGAGGUAACCUUUUGGAGCCAGCCGCCUAAGGUGGGACAGAUGAUUGGGGUGAAGUC